rnacentral:rRNA from 1 species
AAACCAACCGGGAUUGCCUUAGUAACGGCGAGUGAAGCGGCAAAAGCUCAAAUUUGAAAUCUGGCACCUUCGGUGUCCGAGUUGUAAUUUGAAGAAGCUACUUUGGGGCUAGUCCUUGUCUAUGUUCCUUGGAACAGGACGUCAUGGAGGGUGAGAAUCCCGUAUGGCGAGGAGUCUAGUCCUAUGUAAAGUGCUUUCGACGAGUCGAGUUGUUUGGGAAUGCAGCUCUAAGUGGGUGGUAAAUUCCAUCUAAAGCUAAAUAUUGGCGAGAGACCGAUAGCGAACAAGUACAGUGAUGGAAAGAUGAAAAGAACUUUGAAAAGAGAGUGAAAAAGUACGUGAAAUUGUUGAAAGGGAAGGGCAUUUGAUCAGACAUGGUGUUUUGCGACCCUCGCUCCUUGUGGGUGGGGAUCUCGCAGCUCACUGGGCCAACAUCAGUUUUGGCGGUAGGAUAAAUCUUUGGGAACGUGGCUUGUCUUCGGAGAAGCGUUAUAGCCCAGGGGAAUACUGCCAGCCGGGACUGAGGACUGCGACUUUUGUCAAGGAUGUUGGCAUAAUGGUUAAAUGCCGCCCGUCUAAAACGACGGUCCCAGCCCGGGAUCCUUUUUUUGACGCGUAACAGGGAACCCCGUUUUAAAAGCCGGAGAACAAUGGGCGGGCGUUUGCUCUUGGUAAGAAGAAGAAAGUGGGUUAUCGAUGGAGCAGGCCCCGUUUGCGUUCUCGGGGCGUACCUGGACCGAUAUCAGUUAAUAAUGAUU